UACGGAGGGUGCAAGCGUUAUCCGGAUUCACUGGGUUUAAAGGGUGCGUAGGUGGGUUGGUAAGUCAGUGGUGAAAUCUCCGAGCUUAACUUGGAAACUGCCAUUGAUACUAUCAGUCUUGAAUAUUGUGGAGGUCAGCGGAAUAUGUCAUGUAGCGGUGAAAUGCUUAGAUAUGACAUAGAACACCAAUUGCGAAGGCAGCUGGCUACACAUAUAUUGACACUGAGGCACGAAGGCCAGGGGAGCAAACGGG
rnacentral:rRNA from 1 species